GAUGAACGCUGGCGGCGUGCCUAAUACAUGCAAGUCGAGCGGAAAGACGAUGAGCUUGUGCCUUUGACGUUAGCGGCGGGCGGGUGUGUAACACGUGGAUCACCCACUUAUAUGUCGGGGAAAAUUUCGGGAAACGGGAUAUAAUACGAUAGGAUAUAUUGAACCGCAGGGGGCAAUGGAGAAUGUCGGCUGUGGGGGCUGUUAUAGCUGGUUCCGCGCUGCAUUGGGUGGUUGGCAAGGUAACGGCUUACCAAGGCAGCGAUGCGUGGCCGAGCUGAGAGGGUGAUCGGCCACACUGGAACUGAGACACGCUCCAGACUCCUACGGGAGGCAGCAGUCGGGAAUCUUCGGCAAUGGGCGGAAGCCUGACGCAGCAACCCCGAGUGAGUGACGAAGGUCUUCGGGUCGUAAAGCCCUGUUAUUGGGGAAGAACAGAUGUCUAAUUAACCAUGCCCGUCUUGACGGUACCGAAUCAGAAAGCACCGGCUAACUACGUG
rnacentral:rRNA from 1 species